GACGUAGGUAGCAAGCGUUGUCCGGAAUUACUGGGCGUAAAGGGUGCGUAGGCGGUUUCUUAAGUCUGAUGUGAAAUCCUGUGGCUCAACCACAGAACUGCAUCAGAUACUGGGUUACUGGAGUGCGGAAGAGGUUGACGGAAUUACUAGUGUAGCGGUAGAAUGCGUAGAUAUUAGUAAGAAGACCGGUGGCGAAGGCGGUCAACUGGGACGUAACUGACGCUGAGGCACGAAAGCGUGGGGAG
rnacentral:rRNA from 1 species